rnacentral:rRNA from 1 species
ACGCUGGCGGCACGCUUAAACAUGCAAGUCGAACGGGAUCUUCGGAUCUAGUGGCAGACGGGUGAGUAACGCGUGGGAACCUGCCCAGUAGUAGAGAAUAACUUGAGGAAACUUAAGCUAAUACUUUAUACACCCUCCGGGGAAAAGCUUUAUGCGCUAUUGGAUGGGCCCGCGUUAGAUUAGUUUGUUGGUGAGGUAAUGGCUCACCAAGACUACGAUCUAUAGCUGGUCUGAGAGGAUGAUCAGCCACACUGGGACUGAGACACGGCCCAGACUCCUACGGGAGGCAGCAGUGGGGAAUAUUGGACAAUGGGGGCAACCCUGAUCCAGCGAUGCCGCGUGAGUGAUGAAGGCCUUCGGGUUGUAAAACUCUUUCGUCAGGGAAGAUAAUGACGGUACCUGAAGAAGAAGAUCCGGCUAACUCCG